rnacentral:rRNA from 1 species
UAGGGAAUCUUCCACAAUGGACGCAAGUCUGAUGGAGCAACGCCGCGUGAGUGAAGAAGGUUUUCGGACCGUGAAGCUCUGUUGUUGGUGAAGAAGGAUAGAGGUAGUAACUGGCCUUUAUUUGACGGUAAUCAACCAGAAAGUCACGGCUAACUACGUGCCAGCAGCCGCGGUAAUACGUAGGUGGCAAGCGUUGUCCGGAUUUAUUGGGCGUAAAGCGAGCGCAGGCGGAAGAAUAAGUCUGAUGUGAAAGCCCUCGGCUUAACCGAGGAAUUGCAUCGGAAACUGUUUUUCUUGAGUGCAGAAGAGGAGAGUAGAACUCCAUGUGUAGCGGUGGAAUGCGUAGAUAUAUGGAAGAAUACCAGUGGCGAAGGCGGCUCUCUGGUCUGCAACUGACGCUGAGGCUCGAAAGCAUGGGUAGCGAACAGGAUUAGAUACCCUGGUAGUCCAUGCCGUAAACGAUGAGUGCUAAGUGUUGGGAGGCUUCCGCCUCUCAGUGCUGCAGCUAACGCAUUAAGCACUCCGCCUGGGGGAGUACGACCGCAAGGUUGAAAC